rnacentral:rRNA from 1 species
GACGAACGCUGGCGGCGUGCUUAACACAUGCAAGUCGAACGGAAAGGCCCCUUCGGGGGUACUCAAGUGGCGAACAGGUGAGUAACACGUGAGUAACCUGCCCUUGACUUCGGGAUAACUUCAGGAAACUGGGGCUAAUACCGGAUAGGAAUCCUUGCUGCAUGGUGGGGGUUGGAAAGCUUCGGCGGUUUUGGAUGGACUCGCGGCUUAUCAGCUUGUUGGUGGGGUAGUGGCUUACCAAGGCUUUGACGGGUAGCCGGCCUGAGAGGGCGACCGGCCACAUUGGGACUGAGAUACGGCCCAGACUCCUACGGGAGGCAGCAGUGGGGAAUAUUGCACAAUGGGCGGAAGCCUGAUGCAGCAACGCCGCGUGCGGGAUGACGGCCUUCGGGUUGGAAACCGCUUUCAGCAGGGGCGAAGCUUGUGGUGACGGUACCUGCAGAAGAAGCACCGGCUAACUACGUG